AUUGAACGCUGGCGGCAGGCCUAACACAUGCAAGUCGAGCGGUAACAGGACUAGCUUGCUAGUUGCUGACGAGCGGCGGACGGGUGCGUAACACGUAGGAAUCUGCCCGGUAGUGGGGGAUAGCCCGGAGAAAUCCGGAUUAAUACCGCAUACGCCUUACGAGGGAAAGGAGGGGCCUCUUCGGAGCCUUUCGCUAUCGGAUGAGCCUGCGUCGGAUUAGCUAGUUGGUGGGGUAAAGGCCUACCAAGGCGACGAUCCGUAGCUGGUCUGAGAGGAGAUCAGCCACAC
rnacentral:rRNA from 1 species